ACGGCGUUCGCCAUCGUGAAAAACGAUGAAGACAGACAGGGUGUCAGCGCAGGAGGAGCAGGCGAAUAUCGGCACGGUGCUCACUUUUCUCCGAGAGUGGGACCGAGGGGACGGGACGACCCGCGGCCGCAUGCUGGGCACCUUUCUCACUCACAACGCGGGGAAGACGUUUUAUGAGCUGGAGCUGGAGUUCGCACAGGUCGCCAGCCUCUUCCUGGCGCGACUCACCACCUGGAUGAGACUCACAUACAUGUUCGGGACAUUCUUGGGCCUCCAGCUUAAAGCAAUCGGGAUAUUCCUUUCAGCGUCAGGCCAUGAUCAGUACCUGAUGGAGUUCGUGGAGGAUGGAGGGGUUCUCACUCUGCUGGAGAUCUUGAGCCGCUCUCGGAGCAAAGCUGAGGAAAAGGCAGAGGCCCUCCGCCUCCUGCUCGCUGUCUCGAGGGCCGGUCGCAAGUACAAAGAGAUUAUCUGUGAAAGCCAUGGUGUAAAAGCCAUCGCAGAGUGCCUGGCGACAUCAAGCACAGAUGAAACCAAAGAGACAGCGUGCGUCCUCCUGGAAUCCCUGUCCCAUGGAAACCCCAAAUAUCAUAGCCAAGUCUACAAAGGUCUGAUUGCCCUCAUGACCUGUACCUCCCCUAAAGCCCAGCACCUGGUCCUGCACACCUUACACACUGUACAGUCCAAAAUGAAGACAGCCCAUCCGAGCAUUGUAGAGCCUCUGCUGGAUACGCUCAGGUCCCUUCACCUGGAGGUUCAGGAUGAAGCAAUAAAUCUGAUCUCAGACCUGAUGUCUUGUGAUGUGAGGUCGACGCUGCUCAGCGGACUGGUGGUUCUGCUGAGGCCCACUAAAGAAGACGUACAGCAGCACCAGAAUCAUGACGAUAUGAUCAUACCAGAGUCUGAGAGACUCAAGACAUCUGGAUCUCUUCCUGUGUUUGUGCAACAAGCUGCUGCGGCAAAAACAAUCCGCUUGCUGGCCGAGGACAGUGGAGAGGUUUCCCGUGAGCUUCUCUCUCUCGGAGUGAUCCAACAUCUUCUUCAUGCUUUGGGCAACAGAGAACACACUGAUGCCCAAAUACAAGCCAGUCUGGCCUUGGAGCACUUUGUCCGCUCAUACCCAGUUAUUGAGGAACAAGUGCAGGGGGUCAUUGGCAGCGCCCUGUUUGCAGCAUUUAUGAGCUGACACUUUAUACAUGAAUUUGGAUGAAACACAGGCAGAAAUCCUGCUGACUAACACUGUGAGAAUUACUGAAGUUUUGGACGGUGCUGAACAUUGAAUUAUGACGAGAGGAACCAAUCAUUUGCAGCAGAUGAAGAAAAUUUAGUGUGAAUACUGUUUGUUAUUAUUGAUUUUUACUUGUUUCACUGUGGAGUUCAAUAUAUCAUUAAUAACCUUCAGCUUGCACUGUGUUGUUAUUUAUAAUUUAUGGUGAACUUGUAUUACCUUGCCUUACACAACAUGUGACUUUAACCCUUAAAUUUAAUCUCUUUAAUCUGAGACAGUUUGUAGUAAUACACUAAUCAGUGGUGGAAUGUAACUGUGUUUCUUUCAAUAACUUUACUGAAGCAUACAUUUGAGGUUCUAAUACAGUAUUUUCAUGCUACAUGCUACUUUGACUUCACCAAAAUUUUGAAGGAAAUAUUGUUGUUUUUACUUCACCACAAUCGUUUUGAAGCUUUGAUAUAAAAGUUCCUGGAAAGG